rnacentral:misc_RNA from 1 species
UGAAAUGCGAUAACUAGUGUGAAUUGCAUUAUCUCGUGAAUCAUCGAGUCUUUGAACGCAUCUUGCACUUUUUAGGUCUCCUGAAAAGUAUACUUGUUUGAGUAUCAUAAACACACUCCAUCCGCCGACACUGGCUAGCGCCGCUGUUGCGGGAAUUGAGACGUCAGGCAGCUGCUCUUGCAGCAGCUUGUGUCUUUUAAUGCAUAUGCAGGUGAUUUGGUGUGCUGCGCGCUGCUAUACGCUGCGCACACUCACCAAAGCCUCUCCUCAACCAAAUGUGAGAUAGCAUAUCGCACAAAGUAGCUGAAGAGGUCAAGCUUGCUACGCCCAGCGUGUGUUGCUGCUGCGCUGCAUUGCGCUUUGGCAACACUCUGCAACCUUUGAUUCGUGAUCUCAAAUC